GAUGAACGCUGGCGGCGUGCCUAACACAUGCAAGUCGAACGAUGAAACCGCCCUCGGGCGGACAUGAAGUGGCGAACGGGUGAGUAACACGUGACCAACCUGCCCCUUGCUCCGGGACAACCUUGGGAAACCGAGGCUAAUACCGGAUACUCCUCGCCCCCCUCCUGGGGGGCCCGGGAAAGCCCAGACGGCAAGGGAUGGGGUCGCGGCCCAUUAGGUAGUAGGCGGGGUAACGGCCCACCUAGCCCGCGAUGGGUAGCCGGGUUGAGAGACCGACCGGCCACAUUGGGACUGAGAUACGGCCCAGACUCCUACGGGAGGCAGCAGUGGGGAAUUUUGCGCAAUGGGGGAAACCCUGACGCAGCAACGCCGCGUGCGGGACGACGGCCUUCGGGUUGUAAACCGCUUUCAGCAGGGAAGAAAUUCGACGGUACCUGCAGAAGAAGCUCCGGCUAACUACGUGCCAGCAGCCGCGGUAA
rnacentral:rRNA from 1 species